UACGUAGGGUGCAAGCGUUGUUCGGAAUUACUGGGCGUAAAGCGCGCGUAGGCGGGUUGGAAAGUCGAUUGUGAAAGCCCUAGGCUUAACCUGGGAAUUGCAGUCGAAACUCCCAAUCUUGAGUGCCUGAGGGGAUGGCGGAAUUCCCGGUGUAGUAGUGAAAUACGUAGAUAUCGGGAAGAACACCUGAGGCGAAGGCGGCUAUCUGGCGGUGCACUGACGCUGAGGCGCGAAAGCGUGGGGAGCAAACAGG
rnacentral:rRNA from 1 species